rnacentral:lncRNA from 1 species
AACUGAGUGCUGGAUAACUCCAGAUGAGGGGAAGCUAGGGGUAGCGGCUGAAUAGACAGGGCCAACACUUCGGCAAGGGAAGGGGCUGUGUGCGAAGGAGGGCUCUUGGCCCUGCUGCGGCGAGGAAUAGUUGGAGAGGGGCGGGAGCACCAGGGCAGAGUUUCCCCGGAGUUGCGAACAGACACCAAAUCUACUGUCUCGGAUCCAACCGCGCGCCGCCCUCCCUUCCUCCUCUCGCCGCAGCUGUGUGGAUGUGAGGAGCAGGCGGAGCGCGCCUGAGCCGGGAGCCGGGAACAUGCAUCUCCUUUAAAGAUAAUAGGAAGAAAGAGGCUUGGCAUGGAGCAAGCUACUUAAGGACUAUUUAGGAAGAGACCUCCACAUGAAGGUGUUGGGAAGAACAGCACAUUGAAUAGUGACAUCCCUACGACAUGCCUCUCCAGGUGGUGCGACAUGCCUCUUCUCUUACCCAGGGCGCCUUGCCUCAUUAUCUCCCCCCCACCCCCCCUUUGAGUCACAGGAAGAAGAUGUGACUUUGAGAAACUGGUCUUCAAACUGGAGAGAGAGAGAGAGGGGCAUCUAGGUAAUGCUAAGUCAGAUUUUGAGACCUCCGAGGCUUGGUGCCCGUGUGUGUGUGUGUGUGUGUGUGUGUGUGUGUGUGUGUGUGUGUGUGUGCGCGCGCGCGCAUGCAUGUGUGUAGAAGGGGGAACAUGGGGACAUGGAUACAGGAGACGACACGAUGUAGGACUCCCUCCGUCCUAGUGCCCCACUCCUUAGCAAGGGUUCCCAGCUCAUGUCCAGCAGAAUAACAUUUUAGUUUCCAACUAAAGCGAUCAUCCUGAAAGUACCCGAAAGCAUUUUCCUCUGGGGAUGAACUCCAUAGAGCCUUGGGGCUCCGGGUGAUUUAGCAGCCAAAGACUGCACUGCUCCCUAGAGUAGUCCUUCUGAGGAAGUGUUAGCUUCUCCUCCAUGCUUCCCGGACACUGGAGGGACUGCAACUCCUGUGUGGGACUCUUCUGUUUCAGUCGAUUCUAACAAUUGAUCUUACAAGGAGUCGAGGAAGAAGGAGGAGGAAGAGAAAGGUAAAGGCAGAGGAGGAGGAAGAAAGAAAAGAGGAAGAGGAGGGGGAAGAAAAAGAAGAAAGAAAAAGGGAGGAAGGGAAAGGAAGGAGAAAUAGGUCCAGUCUGGCCGGGUCUGCAAAGGAGAUGUGCUUCAAGGACGGCGAUUGUUAUGGUCUUAAUGUUUGUGUCUCCUUAAAAUCCACACGCUGGAAGGAACCUUUGGCCCUAAAGAUGGCAGUACAGAGAUGUUGGGCCUUCUGUGGGUGGUUUGGUCAUGAAGACAGAACUGCCCUCAUUCCCAGCUGGACUAGCACUCUUAUAAAACAAGCUCCAAGACCUGUUUGCCUUCCCUCCCAUGUGAGCUGAUUAUGACAAAGGAAGUAGGGCCCAGCCAGACCCCCACCCCCACCCCGAACCUUGAUCUCGGACUUCUCUGAAACUGUGAGGAAUAAAUGUUUAUUUGUGAGUAA